rnacentral:rRNA from 1 species
GACACGUGUUAUCCUGUCUGAAUAUGGGGGGACCAUCCUCCAAGGCUAAAUACUCCUGAUUGACCGAUAGUGAACCAGUACCGUGAGGGAAAGGCGAAAAGAACCCCGGCGAGGGGAGUGAAAAAGAACCUGAAACCGUGUACGUACAAGCAGUAGGAGCCUCUUUAUGGGGUGACUGCGUACCUUUUGUAUAAUGGGUCAGCGACUUAUAUUCUGUAGCAAGGUUAACCGUAUAGGGGAGCCGUAGGGAAACCGAGUCUUAACUGGGCGAAUGAGUUGCAGGGUAUAGACCCGAAACCCGGUGAUCUAUCCAUGGGCAGGUUGAAGGUUGGGUAACACUAACUGGAGGACCGAACCGACUAAUGUUGAAAAAUUAGCGGAUGACUUGUGGAUGGGGGUGAAAGGCCAAUCAAACCGGGAGAUAGCUGGUUCUCCCCGAAAGCUAUUUAGGUAGCGCCUCGUGAACUCAUCUUCGGGGGUAGAGCACUGUUUCGACUAGGGGGUCAUCCCGACUUACCAACUCGAUGCAAACUGCGAAUACCGAAGAAUGUUAUCACGGGAGACACACGGCGGGUGCUAACGUCCGUCGUGAAGAGGGAAACAACCCAGACCGCCAGCUAAGGUCCCAAAGUCAUGGUUAAGUGGGAAACGAAGUGGGAAGGCUCAGACAGCCAGGAUGUUGGCUUAGAAGCAGCCAUCAUUUAAAGAAAGCGUAAUAGCUCACUGGUCGAGUCGGCCCGCGCGGAAGAUGUAACGGGGCUAAACCAU